GUCAAAAAAAAAACAAUGUUUUUGUUGUGGUGUUUUUUAAAUUUUGUAUCACUUGAUGGUCCUUCUGGUUUAUUUAAUUUUACCUUUUGAAAUUAUUAUUUCUCUUACCCUAAGAAAUAGAAUGCUUUUAUAGUAAUGCUUUUUCAAAGUAUGAUAUACAAAAGACAGUUUAUUACAAGAUAUAUAUCACUUGGAGUAGGUCUAAAAAGAUUACAAUCUUUGGCAGGAGACGAUAGACCCCGAAAGGGGGUUAUAUGAAUUCAGGGCACAAUUCAGUUCAACCAGGAUGAAUUCUACAAACCUCUAUGUAACUACAACGCAAAUCAUUUUAAAAGCAGACCCUAACAAUUCCCAGUCCUGGCAGGAUUUAUACCGACUGAUCCCUUAUCUAAAAAACUCAUUGUGCUGUGUUGUGUGUUCUCAUUUACUUAUUAACCCCCUUACUCCAGCUAAUGGACAGUGUCAACAUCAUGUAUGUCAAAUUUGCCAAGGGGGCAAGAAAAAAAUUAAGCCUCAAUGUGAAAACUGCAAAGACUGCUUAGAUUAUUACAAUAAUAGGACUUUAAAAAUUCUAUUGCAAUUAUAUAAAAAAAUGUGUCUAAGUAUGAUGAAAUCGCAUAUCUUUAAAAGCCUUGCAAUUCAGGCAUGUCAACCAGGUGCAAGUUAUGAAAAAGGUGCGGCAAAUUUAAUACAGAUUGUAAGGGAAGGGGCAAUGUUUCAAGACGAAUAUGAAAGUCCGGGCGGUUUGCCCAAGUCGACAUACUCUAUAUUGCCCUGCAUUUACUCAUCCAUGCCACAAAGUACAAAUCAACCUCAACCUGUAGCAAGUAGGCCUGCGAUACCAGUGACAUCAGCGGUAUUAACGUCAGUCCAGACUGAAUUACCUAAUAAUAUACAACCAUCAAGUAAUGCUAGCAGAUCUCAACUAUAUUCGGUUGUGUAUCCUGGGUCAGGAAGCAAAAUUACAAUUAAAAGAAAGCAAAAAGAAAGCGCCAACAUUAGCAUUACUAGUUCAACUCCCACAUCUCUAAGCUUUGGAAGUGCAGAUUCUGAACCAAAGGAAGAGUCUGAAAGUGUGCUCUUUAAGAAACCAUGUGUAACAAAACUAAGAAAGGGCUGCAGGUGUGGAAAUGCGACUCCUACUCCUGGAAAGUUAACCUGUUGUGGGCAAAGAUGUCCUUGUUAUGUUGAAAGCAAACCCUGUAUGGAUUGUAAAUGUAGAGGCUGUAGAAAUCCACAUAGACCUGAUGGUAAUAAGGUGUUGCUCUUUGUACCAGAACUUGAGUCUUCCCAAACCACAACAACAGCCCUAGGUAAAGAUCUUAGUUUCCAACAAGGACAGGACACCAGUAAUCCUCAAGUCGCUCUAGGACAUACAAUACCUGUACCGAUUGUGGAAGAUGAGCAAGUAGCUUCCGUAAAACUGGAUUCCCUUCAACUGGAGACCCAGUUCUUUACUCCAGAUCCUAUGAACACGCAGUAUAAAGCUUAUAAUUUGUUUGACCCAAUACACAGUUUAACAUCAAGAGACCUGAUACCAUACGGAUUGAUGGAAGAAGAAGACGAUACUGAUAUUACGGUAGUAUAACUAAAGAUCUGUGUAAUUUUUUUUGAAUUUGAACACAGAAUAGUAAUUUAUACAGAGGUCCAAAACUGAGCCCUACUGUAGGUAGGAUGUAGAAAAUCUAAAUUUGAGCUGAUUAGCUCUCUUUUUGGUGGUCCGGUACUUUUUAUUCUUGAAAACAAUCGGCCUCUCCUUGUGUUCAAGCAAUUUGCGCCGGCUGUAGCUCUGAGGGAGAUCAUUUGAGGACACAUGUUUAUAGGGAAAAAAAGUCUUAUUUUGACUCCAACAAUACGCUCUCAACAUAUUUGCACCGAAUUUUGAGAUAUUAUAUAGAUAUAUAUAGAUAUUAUAUUUUGAGAUAUUAUAUAUAAUAUCUCAAAAAAUGUCCUUGCGUCGCUAUUCUUAUAGCAAGAGGGAACUUAAUCAAUGUUUGCAAUUGGAAGAGUAGCAUUUUUCCUAAAAGAAUUUCCUGUAAUUUUGAUUUUUACAGUUUUACUAAAAUACCAUAUUUGUUUAAAGGAUACUUUCUUGUUUGGUAGUCAAAAUUGUUAAUCAUUAAACAUGUUUCUUUACCCUUAGGAAGAGUGGACAACUGAAGUUUGUUGUCAACAAUCCCACGAUCAAUCUUGGCUCAGAAAGUUCUUUCUAUAAAAGACUACGCCCACUCCUUAUAAUUACUGCUCAGUUGUAGUCCUAUGGUUGGAACCUUUGGUGUGACUCAAAUUACGAGAAAGUUUUACCACUAACCAAAACUCUUUAUUUUAUUCUCGACACGUGUUUCGCUAACGAUGUUAUUCUCCCGAAGCUCAGACUUGAGAUAAUUCGCUCCUCUUGACACUUUUGGACGUUGUUUCUGUCUGACUUUCUUUCUACUUUUUGGGUUUUAUAGAAAAUUCACAUUUAUUUAAGUGGCUUGAAUUAUUCGCCACUUUUACUGUUUGCCCAGGGAAUAGUCGUGGACGAUGCAUGAGACGCGAGAGGGGAAAUUCGGUUGGAAUUUUGCCGUGUCAUUGACGUGCAUAAUUUUUUUAUAAAUUUGUUUAAAUGCGUUAUAAAAUAUUAGUUCAUUAAAUAUCUAGUAAUUCAAAAAAGUAGUCCAUUUUUCUCAAAGAGAUCUCUUAAUAAUAAAAAUUCAGAGAUUGGAGGGACACAAAGUCAAUGGUCUCAAAUUAUGUUUAUUUUUAAAAACGAUUACACGUGUUUCUUCAUUUAAUUCAGGAGGUUAUUGAAAAUGAUCACAUCCGCAGAAUAGAGCGAAAUAAUGGUGAAUAAAUAUAAUGCAAACUCACAAUUUUUAAGUAACAUUGUUUUUCCGACGAUUCAAGUUUUUUUUUAAUGGUUCUGUAAAUAGGCAAAAUUUUCGUUAUUGGGCACCAGAAAAUCCACACUGUAGUAUAGAAAGUCACACAAAAUUUCCCAAGAAGUUAAACGUAUGGGCAGGAAUCGUGGGCACGUCAAUUGUGGGUCCCUAUUUUAUUGAGGGCACACUUACCUAUGAAAAAUAUUUAGAGUUGUUUCAAAAUCAGAUAGUACCUAGUUUAAUUGCACUUUAUCCAAAUGUUUAAAACCCAUUUAUACCGAUAGAUUCGAUAUGGUUCCAACAGGAUGGCGCCCCCCCAUACUAUUCGUGAACAGUACGAUUACCUUACCAACAUUUUCCCAAAUAGAUGGAUUGGAAGGGGGGUUUUAUUGAAUGGCCAGCAAGGCCGCCAGAUUUAACCCCAUUGGGUUUUUAUCUAUGGGGUUAUCUAAAAUCUAAAGUUUAUUUUGAUAAACCUGAAAGUUUAGGAGAAUUAAAAAAUAGAAUUAGAGCCGAAAUACAACAAAUCCGGCCUCAAACAAUAAGUAAAGUAUUACAAGAAUUUGAAUAUCGACUUGGUCACUCUCAGGAAGUUAAUGGUCAACAAUUUGAACAUUUAUUUUUUUUUGUUUUGUUUUUUUCAUAAACUGUUCCAAAAAUUCAUGGUUAUUUAUAAAAAAUUUAAUCGCAAAUUUCUUAAUAAAUCUUGAGGUUAGGUAUAGGAUAUGGUAUACAAAAUAUAUUUAACAUUUUAUACAUACUUAAAAAUAAAAUAAAAAAUGGGUGUUUAUAUUUAAAAAAAUUAAGUUGAUAGUCGUAGCUCAUUUUUGGUUCACCAUGUAUACAUGAAUUCAUCAUCAAAAAAAUCGCUUUAAAAUUUUUUUUUCGAACACACCCCUGAAUUUUAAAUGAAUUUGUUUCAACUUGCGCGUCCUUACUGUAUAGCAACCUAAUUACCUAACAGAGUGUUCGAAUUUGGACACCCCGUAUAUACAAGAAAAUAUCUAAACAUGAAAUAUCUGAUGCACUAAACAUUAUUAAGGAUAUUUGUAUGUAGAUAUAAUAAUUUAAUAAUACUUCCCUAUAUCAGCUUUUUAAUAUUAUCAAAAAAAAUAGUCAAAUUAUUCCACAACAUUGUAUAUUAGUGGCCACUGAAAUAAUUGAAAAUAUUAAGAAAACAAUAUCACCAACAUAUUAUACCACAAGAAAAAAGUUGUAAUAAAGCCAAUGAAACAAGAAAAAUUUAAACAUAAUACAAAUAUCAAAGUAGACAGUGCCAACAACUAUAAAUUAUAUCGUACGCCUAUGAUCGAAACCAUAUUCAAAUACGAAUCCCACACCUGUUGUGAAAUUCUCAAAAUAUAUGGAAGAAAAAAAGUGGGGAAGCAAGACGCCAUAAUUAAAUAUUUAAUUGCUGACCAAUUCAACGCAAAAAUCGCGUACGUCGAGUGCCGGUAAGGUCUCGCCCACUUUGACCCCGAAAUUGUGUGGUCUAUAUCGUUCUUGCCACUUAUUAGUGAUUUGAAAAAAAAAAUCAUAAAUAAUAUACAACGAAAUUCAUAAAUGAAGUCUGACAAUCUCGCAAAUGUCACAGAUUUUUGUUUUCCGUGAUCUUUAAAUUUUUCCGUCCACGUCUAUUCGCUGGGCGAACUAUAGUUGAGGUUAGUAUAUAAAUUGUAGGUCGACAACGUUAUCUGAGGCUUACUAUUUUCUAUUUUUUAGAAAAUUUUAAUAGCUUAAAUUUUAGUCUCAUAAACACGUGUAGCACAAAAGAAAUAAUAAAUAUGCCUACGCCUCUGUUUGUCGUAGAGGACCACUCGUAAAAAAACCUGACGAUGACGUAAAACGGGUUCGGGGGGAGGCCAAUCAGUUUAAAAGUUGGCUCGGCGCGAAACAGCCAUGAUUUUGCUGUUGUAGUAACCGAGCCAAUUAGAUAACCUGUUGAUCGCACGCCGCACUUCUACUGUGCUAUGUUGUCAUAUUAGUUUUAUAGCGGGUUGCUAAGGGCGGAAAGGCUUUUCUUCACAAAUGAAAAUCCCAAUCUUUUUAUUUUGGAGUUCAUCAUCGGCAGACUCUAAAAUUAAUUUUUUCUUUUGAGAGAAACACAUUAAAAUAACAAACAGCAAGUCAAAAUUAAAAGGUACAACAAAAAUUAACGAAAUUACAAAUAAAAGUUUUAAGUUUUAAAAACUACUUUAUACUACAUAAUUGUGGUGUUUACAUAAAAACUAUAAUUAUGAUAAUAAAAUUAAAAAAUGGUAAAAGGCGCGACUUCUAGUAAACGCAGUUAAAACUAAAGUUUGAACAUUGAAAGAUAAAUCUAUAACGAUAAAGGAGAAUAAGCUCGAAUUAUUAUUGAACUUCGACAGAGUACUAUAGUACCGCGGGGAGAAGAGAUUAUUUAAGAAAAGGGUAAAUUAAGAAGAAAGGGAGGAGGGAGGUAUGAAUGAUAAGUAUUUCUUAAGAAGGAUUAUUUAUUUAUUAGAAAAUCUUAAUUCACCCUUUUCUUAAAUAACCUCUGCUCCCUGCGCUACUCUAGUACUGUGUCGACGUUCAAUAAUAAUUCGAGCUUAUUCUCCUUUAUCGUUAUAGUUUUAUCUUUGAAUGUUCAAACCUUAGUCUUAACUGCGUUUACUAGAUGUCGCGUCUUUUAUGUAGUGUAAGGUAAGGCUUUCUCUCUUGACAAAAAGAUUGGCAUUUUCAUUUGUGGAGAAAAGUUUUCCUACCCUUCCCAACCCACUAUAUCAUAGCCACUCCACUUCAAAAAUGGACUUCUACUUACAAAAAAAAAAUAUUGGUUUAAUCCAAAUCAUUACCAAUGCAAUAUUAUAUAUUUUUUAUUCAAAUUGAAUAAGAUUGGACCUACAAAAAGGUUAUUUUUUUUUAGUUUUUAGAGAAUUAAUUAGCAUAUACAAUGAUAGUUAUAUUAAAUUUAAAAAAAUAUAUUGUGUUUUUAAGGGAUUAAUAUGACAAAUUUGCUUUAAAACUUUUAACAGAUAAGUCACGCGCCAUAAAUUCCUUUUCGAGACAUAGAUAAAGUUGUCGAAUAAUAUAAGCGUUGACUGAAUAUUUGAGAAGAUGCGCAACCUUAUGGACGAAAAUGUGCCUUCAAAUCUGCCCGACAAUGGGAUGGCGACACCGUCGCGUCGGUCUAAUAGCGAAGUCCAUUGGAAAAAAAAUUGUGGCACUAGUGGUUUUUGGAUUUAGCCUUGAGAGGAAAAUUCCAAAAUUGGCUGUUGUUAGUUGAGGUUAUGUUUUACGUUAGCUCUCCUUAUACUUCACCAGUUAUUUAUCAAAUUCCCUAAAUAAUAACUGCCAUGUUUUCUACUUACGGGAUAGGAACUAGAGCCGCACGAUUACCCAUCCAUAGCUCGUGCGGAACUGAGUGCACUCAGGGCAAAAAGUGCCACCUUGGUGCGCCAAUGGAUUAGGUACAUACAUAAACCUGCACAUAUAAUUUUUUUUGUGGACAUGUUGGGUGAUAAACAUUAAUUUUUUUUACUAGCGUAGUUAAAAGCUGCUUCUCUUGCGUAAUAUACACAGUUAUGCUGGCAACAAAUCAAAAUAAGUGGUGUUUAUAAAGGACAUAAUAAAAAGAAACAAAAACAAUAAUUUAAGUUUCUUUUAAUCUCAGGCUCUAAAUCAAAUGCCGUUUGAGUGGAUUCAAACUCGUGGAAAUAUGGAUAUUUUUUGAUGAGGAACAUGCUGCUAAAAAAUGUAUAUUCGAAAAUAAUUUUUUUGAAAAUUGAUAUUUACGUAAGAACAUACCAAACACAACUACUAAGAAUAAAUGUUGUACGGAAAUGUGGUAUCUUGGAAAGGUCUAUAUAUAGUAAAUUUUUUCUCACUAAAUAGAGAGGUUAAUUUAUUAUAGAAUUUUCACCAAAUAUGUUGUUAUCUUAGAACAUUGAAUGCCUAGAAUAAGUCUAGCUGCAAACUAAAGAGUAAAUAUUUACUCUUUAAAAGUUUCGUUUAUUUGCUGACUAAUAAUAUAUACUUUGAGAGUAUUAACAAAUUUUUCAGAAUAAAAAAGAUUCCUGACAAAAAGGAAAAGUUUUAUCCAUAUCUUUUGGCAGUUAUAGCCGUUUAUAACAUCUACCUCAACAAUUUUUAAUCAAAAACUUAUCGUCUGUAGACUAUUUGCAACUAUCUCAAAUCCGUUAUUAUACAGUGCUUUCAUUUCAAAACGAUCCACCCUUAGUAACUUUCAAAAAAAAAAACACGUCAAAUUAGAUAUACAGGGGGACAUUUAAUUAUGCAUUUACUGAAGUUCUGCCAAUCACCUCCUCACCUCCAGCUAUUUUUAUUUACGCCAAACUUUGGUAUUUUAAAUGAAUACUUUUAGUGUGGUACCUACAUCAUUUUAAAAUUCUUACAUUUUUUAUAAUAGAUCAUGAAAAAAAAAUACAAGCAAUUUAGAGGUUAAAAUGUGUGGUAACAAACAGUACAUUUAGUUCAAGCAAAUUAUUUAUUUUUUUAAGUAAAGAAUGUGUACCGUUAUUUGCGAGAAAAAAGAGUGUCUUCAAUUUUUUUGCAAAAAUCUUUGCAGUCUUAUAACUUUGUAUGUGUAUUUAUUUCACUUAUAUUUUUUGCGAAACCUACCUAAUAGGUACAAAAAAACACUGCAAUACCUUACAUUUUUAAGGCGUUUAAAAAGCAGGCGAUUUAUUAUUGUUAAAACUGUCAGUUUGACGCGUGCAAUUUUUCAAUUUUAGUUAAAACAGUGAGUUAAUAAAAUGGUGUAUACGCUAGCCGAAAGAAUAGAAAUAAUUUUCCUUUAUGGAGCUCAAGAUCGGUGUGCUCGCAGAACCGCGAGAGCAUUUAAUGAAAGGUAUCAAGAUAAAAACGUGAGCCAUAAAUACGUAUUAGAUUUGAUACGAAAAUUUGAAGAGACGGGAUCGAUUUGCAAUAAGAAAAAAUAUGAAAAUAGAGUUGUCGAUGAAGCAUGCCAAGUUGAAGUACUAGGACAAUUUGCUAUGGAUCCGACUUUGUCUAUACCAAAGGCGCAAAACUAACAAAUAUUUCCACUCGUUUCGUACAUAAAGUUAAAAAAAAAAAUAAGUUCUUUCCUUAUAAAAUUCAUAUUCUUCAUGAACUCGGAGAAGAUGAUUUUGAUAGGAGAAUUCAAUUUUGUGAAGUGAUGUGCCAGCGAAUUGACGACGAUCCCCAUUUAUUGAAGAACAUUUGCUUCAGUGACGAAUCGACCUUUUUUUUAAAUGGCCUGGUGAACAGACAUAACUGUAGAUACUGGGAUAAUGAAAAUCCGCAUGUUUUUCGGGAAGGCCAUACCCAAUAUCCCCAAAAAAUUUAUGUUUGGGCAGGAAUUUAUGGGAAUGAAAUAAUCAGGCCAUUUUUUUUGGAAGAAAAUUUGACUGGGGAAAUUUAUUUAAACCUUUUAGAAAAUCCAAUCUAUGGAAAAUCAAGUAGAUCAACAUGGUGCUAUAUUAUUGAAUGAAAAUAAUAUACAUUUUCAGCAGGAUGGAGCUCCCGCGCACUACACUUUGGUAGUUUGAGAGUGGCUUGAUGAAAAUUUUCGAGAAAAGUGGAUUGGCAGACGUGGUGCAAUCGAAUGGCCUGCGCGGUCUCCGGACCUAACACCACUUGACUUUUUUCUUUGGGGCUACUUAAAAAGCAAAGUUUAUAAAACCUCACCUGAGAGUAUUGAGAAUUUAAAAAAUAGAAUAUUUCAAAAAUGCAGAGAAAUUAGCGAGCAGACCCUUGCCAAUGUUCGUAAGGAGUUUGAAAAUAGGCUUUUUUAUUGUCUUGCUAAUAACGGCGCGCAUUUUGAACAUUUAGUAAAAUAAAUUUGUUAAACUAAUUAAAUUUGUUUUUCUACCCUCGAUUUACACUUUAAUUGCUUCUUGGUCAAUCAAUUUUAUUUUUUUUACAACCCUUGAUAGCAUAAUGAAUGCCCUUUAAAAUAAUGUAUCACAUCAUGGGGUAGCCAUUUGACAUACCAAAGUUUGGCGUAAAUAAAAUAUUCAUUAUUUCUAGACAUUUUCGACAACUAUUUGCUUACACAUUUACCGAUUUCAUUUUUUUUUGGUACCGUUGAAUAGAGAAUUUUACGCUCCUUACUAUGAUGUAUCACACGAUGGGGGUUUCCAUUUGACAUAUUAAAGUGAGGUUAGCUGGAGGUGAGGAGGUGAUCGACAGAACUUCAGUAAAUGCAUAAUUAAACGUUCCCCUGUAUAUCUAAUUUGACGUGUUUUUUUUUUUUUUUUAAGAAACUUAUCGUUUUGAAAUGAAAGCACUGUAUAUUUAAUAAAAAAGUUUAAUUCGUUUGGAAGUUUGGAAGAAAAAACCUUUUGUCGCGGUUUAUACCCACUAUAAACCGAUUUAAUUAUUCAUUGUUAAUAUCUUUAUAUCUGCGUUCUCAAUUUUGGUUGCUAGAUAUCGACCAGGUACUACCUUCAUUUUUGCACACCUUAAUUUUUGCGGCAUUUCGGGUUCGAAUAAGCAAUAAAUUUACUAGAUUAUGAACAUACACUUAAUUACACAUUUUUAUUAAUAUUUUGGUAUCCAAUACUUAAUAGAUACUUCACAAAUAUGCCGUCUUUUAUAAUAUUAUAACCUAGAAGGAUAGAGGACCUGAAAGGAGCGAUUUGAAUUUCCUUUUUUCCAAUAUAUGCGACCCACUUCAGACUUCUCUAUAAUUUUUCAGCAAAAAGGUAGUUUUUAGCCUUAAUAUUAAUUAAAAAACGCCCUGACACCACUCAAAAUAUCCUUUAAAUACCAAUACUGUACGAAAUGUGCACCAUCCAAAAGUAAACAACGAGCGCAGUUACCAAAUAUCUUUAUUGCGAAGAUAUUUCUGGGCAAAAUCUACAGCGUUGCCACUGUUUAUGGAAAUUUGGAUGAUUUAAAGAGUCCAAACUAAAAAUAUUAAUUAUUAUUAGUGUUUAGUGUGAAUAUAGUACAAAAUAGUUUUGGUUAUUAAAUGAGUUUCACUCUUUCUUUUGCUUCAUAAUAAAGAACUGCAACUCAGUUUCUGCUAAUUAUAAUAAUUUAUUAAAUCACUUUAUUUUCUUCUACUAAAAUUGAGUAAUCACUGGCAACAUGGAAUACUAAGCAUGUUUAUCAACAAAAUAUCCCCUCUGCCCCCUGUGUAGAUGUUGCGCUCAAUCCAAAGCAGCCAAUGUUUAUUCUAGUGUAUUCAAUGUUCUAAAGUUGUUAUAAAUAUUGAAUUCAAUUUAACCUAUUAUUACAAGCUAUUUUGAUUCAGUUUUUCUUUUAGAUACUUUAGCCUUUACAGAGUGGUGCCGUUUAAUUAAUUAGUUUUAAUAAAAGGAGUUUCGAAAAUCGUAAUAAUAUCAAUUAGGUAUUAUUUUUUAGGUAGCUUAUUUCUGAUCUAAUUUGAUUUAAAAAAAUAUAGGUUUACAAAAGCAAAUUUAAAGGUAUGUAAUUGAGUAUUAGAUCAGUACCUCAGAGGUAGUUUUAUAAAGAAUGAAUUAUACUUAUUCCAGUCAAUUAAGGUAGUUAAAGAUUUAUUGAUCGUGGAUUGUUUAAAGUAAUUCAGAUUUAAGUUCUUAUUUUUUGUAAAUUUGAUCUUAAUUAUGUUAGCUCAACUGAAGUAUUCAAAAAUAGUUAAAAAAAAUUCACUGCAUUUAAGGAUUUAUUUAAAUCCUUAAUUCAGUCAUUGUUUUACUUGAAUAUUUGACAAACUUCCUUCAUUGUGAAUAUGUUUUAACUAGGCACCUUAAUCAAGAUCUCCUAGAUAAUUUAUUUUCUGUAAUAAGAAUGAGAUGUUCAGUGAAGCUUUAAUCUCAUAUGAAGCCAAUAAAAAUGUAACUUAUUGUUAUUCCGUAAUUGCAUUUACAAGCAAUAUAAGUAGUUUCACUUUUUCCAAUCUAAAAAUAUCGAAUAAUUCAAAUAAAACCGUAAGUUUGGCAACGUGUCCUAAUGUAAUGUUUGUGGAUAUUUCACAAAAAUCUUAAUAGAGAAAACGAAAUGUGAAAACAAUUGUGAAUAUUUUUAGAAAAACGAUAAAUCAGAAAUAAGCGAUAAUAUUUAAAAUCCAUAAAAAUUAUUAAAUCAAAUAUUGUAUUUGGUUUCUGUUUGGUGAUUCGGUUCCGAAUAAUACGAAUCAGUUUCAAUACUGGGAUUGUCGGAUGAGUUUUGACUCCAUAUACCUCUGCACUUCUAAGAGUGCCCUAGAGGUAGAACUACUGGGUAUUUCAUUUUUAGAAGUAAUUUUGUCAAAUGUAUGAUAAAGUUGUUUUUUUAAUUAAAUUAUCUUCUACAUUGCUUGUAGAUGGUUGUUGAGUAAUCUGGUAUUUUUACUGGAUGUUUUUUAUAUGUCACUCAACUAUAAUGCUAUAUGCAGUUCCUUCUAAAGGAACUGAAAGUUAUUUCCAUGAAUUCAUUCAUCAAAUGUCAAUUGAGGCAGAUCAGUACCCUAUUGUACUCCGUACAGCUUCUUCUAACUCAAUAAAUCGCUCGACCAUGUAGUAGGUGGAGUUCCACCUCAUAACCAAAUCCUGUAGAAGUUUCUUACGGGUUUUUAAACUAAUAUUCUCCUGAAACUUUAUUAAUUUUGCCAUGGCUUUCGCGCUUCAUUUAAAGUCUAAAACUAUAGUUUUCACUUUCUCUAGAGUACCUGCUAGUUCGGUGAAUCGCAAACUAGGAGAUUUAGAGUAUGGGCGUAGCAUCCGAAAAACUUCCAUACCAGCCUAUUUGUAAUGGCACUUUUCACAUUGGCCGCAUCAUCAGAUAUUGCUAAAAUAAUGUUUUUUCAAUACCCCAUUCCUCUGCUAUGAUUCUUACUGAUAUGAUUCUUACUGACAUGAUUCUUAUGAGACUGAUCAAAUAUGGCGCAUUUCAGAAGAAUGGUUUGAAUACAAUAACAUUUAAUAACAAAUCGUCAAUUAUUUUAUUUGAGGCUGUAUUCAAUCUUUUGGGCACACAUGAGGAAAUUUUUGACUGAUUUUUUGGAAAAACUUAUGGCUUUCUGCCUUUUUUGCUAUGUGGAACAUAAUACUUGUACUGGAUGAGCAGGGGGAUGCACUGACACUGGGUUUUGGGCCCCCGAUAACAAAUCAAUCUUCAAAAAAAAAGUUACAAGAUGUUAGGUAAAUAUUUGCUAUUAAAUAACGUAUUUACCUGAGAGAUUAUAACGAAAGUACAUUUAUCAAUAUUUUGGCUAAUCAAUAUUUACCUGUUGCGAUGCCUAUAUUUAAUAAUUUUGUUACCUGUUGCGUUGCCUCAUCAUUGACUUCUAUUUGUAUAUCAGCAUUUUCACUUGUAAUUUGAUCUUCUAUAUCCUUAUUAUUGUUGUCCUGAGGGAUUGAUAGUAAGGCGUUUACUUGAAGUAUUUGCACUGUCGGGUGUUUUCUUAGCAUGUGUUUCUUCAAAUUUGACACGGUAGUCUUAUAAGACAUAAGGGUUUUGCAUAUGUUACAUUUUGCAGUUUGUUUAAAGCUAUCUACUAUAGAAAAAAAGUCCCAAACAACACUAGUCUUUUUGUUUGUGACAAACAAAUGAAAAUAAAUAAUAAUAAAUAUAAACUCUGAACUCAAUUCUAUGUAGAUCUAUCUGGACGGAUCACCAAUACAGACUAAACUCCUCGUAUACAUUGUAAAAAUCUUAAAACCGAAAAGUCCGUUGGCUGUCGGUGUCCACAAAAGAAAACUCGCCUCCCUGUCAAUCAUUCUUUUCGGCGGAAAUCAAAGUGCCGCGCAUGCCGCAAAAAUAAUAAAAUUUAAAAACAUAACCGCUAAUUCAUCGAAAACCUGUGAUACCGCCAGCAGCGCCACGGCUGUUUUGCGAUUUAUUUGUUAGGAAUAGGUUGGAACUGUAUUAGGUAUUUGGAAUAGGUUUACAUGUGGAACUCGUACAGGACAGGAUAGUUACAUUAAAAAGCUAUUCCAUAACAUCUCUAGUUGGCAGCAUCAUCCAUGUCUUAAAAAAAUAACCAACACGGCAACCUAACCUCAAAGAAGCCAAGUCCAAGCAGCUUAGAUGAAUCGUUCCUAGAUUUGCCGGCAGCACCACACCGUGAACGACACUGAACGGCAAUCGAUAGUAGACCGAGUACAUUUUAAAACACAGGAUUGCGUAUCUUCCCAAAUAUUCGAUCAACGAUAUAAGCUAGGGUGCAAUUUUCGAAAUUUCAGAUAGCUCAUAUAAGAUUACCCACUCUACUACACAACUAUGCAUGCUUACUGAUAAUAACUUAAGAAUUAGCUGCACAAAAUAAUACAUAUUUAAUAAAUUUAAAAGGCAUAAAGGUUUAUACAUGAUAAAACUAGUACAUUCCACCUCACUCCUUAAGAUUCUGAAAUCAGUCUAUUUGCUUUUCCCCAAAAGUCCUGAGAAUACCCUAGUGCAAGCUAUUCAAUAAACUUUAUAAACUGUUUAGGAUUCAUAUAACACGAAUAACACUAUUACAUGAUGGGUAAAAGUGCAAAUUUGAAUGAAAAUAAAACAUUUUAUAUUUUACAUUGUAUUUGAUGGUCAUGUGGAAUGUGUAUGUAAUGUGAAUGAUUUGAGAUUCUGAGUCAGUUUUAGGAAGAAAGAAUAUUUUAGAAUUCAAGGAAUUGUAAAGUGAUAGUUUUCAGUUAAGAGUAACUAAAGCAAAAUGUAAGAGUGACUGAAUGUUAAAUAAAAAUGUUAAUAUAGUA
rnacentral:misc_RNA from 1 species